AUUGAACGCUGGCGGCAGGCCUAACACAUGCAAGUCGAACGAGUGGCGUACGGGUGACCAAUGUAUGUGCAACUUCCCGUUGGAGGGGGUUCACCACUGGACGCGGAAGCUACUACCGCACACAAGCGGCUGUGCCGAGUUGGGAUUUGCUAGUGGGUGGGGCAACGGCUGACCUAGGCGACGAGCCCUACCUGGUCUGAGAGGAUGACCAGCCAAACUGGAACUGAGACACGGUCCAGACUCCGACGGGAGGCAGCAGUGGGGAAUAUUGGACAAUGGGCGAAAGCCUGAUGCAGCCAUGCCGCGUGUGUGAAGAAGGCCUUCGGGUUGUAAAGUACUUUCAGCUGGGAGGCGUUACUCGCAGAAGAAGCACCGGCUAACUCCGUGCCAGCAGCCGCGGUAAUAC
rnacentral:rRNA from 1 species